CACAAAUAACAGAAAGUAAUAUUACACUUUAAAUUGUCCAGGAUUGCGAGUCAUUGAUUUUUAUUCGAAAUCCUAGAUAAAUAAAAGUUAUCCAAGUUGGAGGGAAUGGAGGUGUGCAACAUAAAGGCCAGCAGCUGAGCCGAGCAAAACGAUACGAUACGAAACGAAACGAGGCUUUGGAUAUCAAACUGGCCAGCGCCUGUUGAUAUUAGCAUUUAUUUAUAUCUCCUGACCUCAAAUAUGUGUAACGUGCUCCCCCUCUACUCGUGACAGGCUUGGCUGUACAGUGUACAGGCACGCCUCCGUUUUCGAGGUUACCACCGAGCUGAUAUCGAGUUCCAUCGAAUUCUGACGGUGGUGUAACACCAAUUGCUCGCUCUUCCUCCCCCCUUCCCCCUGCUGCAUUGAUAACACGACCAGGAGCCCGUUUUCACCUGGUAAACCUACGGGCAACUACCCCUCCGUUCGAGUUGCUCCAUCAACUCUACGGACACCGGCCGGUGCUGGUGGCUCGCCUCUUUUCUCCACCGUUGCUUCGAUCGAUGGAACACAUCCACGAAACUAACGUUUCUACUCUACUUUACUUUACUUUACUUUAUAAUCCUUUUGACGAGAUUCGAGCCUCGUCAAGGAAAUUAUGUUCCAAGUUUGAUUUGACCACGAAAGAGGAUGCUUUCCGUUUCUCGUUGAAUGUAAAACCAGCAGAAAAACAUCUGGUACAAUGAAGCAGUGAGAUACGGUUAAUGUGGAACAGAAGGAAAGCCAGGAGAUCGUGAAACCGGCGAGGAUAAGUAGAAUAGCAACGGUUACUCCAAAACAGAUCCGCAGAUAAACCUUCACCAGUCAUGUUGGUCACAGCGUGAACCGUGUUGAAUGCUGAGAAUCGAGUUCUCUCUUACAAUCGUUCGUGUUCCUUUUUUUUUUUUUUUUCCUUUUGAUUAAAAUUAGCUUUGAAAGCCAUGCUUGAGCAGGAAACCUCGAGGCGAGGAGAGAUGGAUGCAAUUUCAGAUCGAAAGGUUCGCGGUACAAAUUGGAAUGCGUGUUACACCUAAUGGAGCACGAGUCACAGCAUACAUACUUAGCCGCAAUUAACGUGGAAAUGAGUAAAUCUGGAAGAUCGUUUCGAUACUGAUCAUUUUUCUAAUCUAAUUUAUAUUUUCACGACGUUAAAGUUUCAAUUUCGGCGAAAAAAAAAAAAAAUUCUCGACAAACAUCCAUUUGUGAUAGCGAAGAUAACGAUUGCUCUUAAUUAGCCAGCGACACAGAUUGCCGUCUCUUUUUUUUCUCCUGCCUUAAUCGCGCCACACUCGGUGUUCAGUUAUCUUUAUGCAAAACGAUCUGUUAUCUCUGGUGGUUUACGAGCAUCGCAACCGAUAACCUUAAUUAAAUCGAGUGGCUGAAAAACGAGGCGAAUUCAACGUGGCAGGGAUUCGAAGAUACGAUAACCGUGUAUCGAUUGCUCGGUGAAAUGCUUUUGUUAUUUAAAGUGACAAUUAUUCGCGCGACGACCGUGCCAAUUCGCGAAAGUAUCAAAUUAUUACCGUUUCCUGCUGUAAUUAUCAGAGCAUUCGAAUUGAUCGACGAUGAAUCACAAAAGAGGUUAAUUAUCAGCAUCGGCGUAAUUAGAAAGCCAAGAAUAACUGAAGCUAUUGUGAAGAAAGAAAAAGGAAAAAAAGAGACGUAUCAAGCAACAAUAACCUAACACAGGAACUAAAUGGGAUGCGUGAGGAGAGACAGGGGAUCCUUAGUAAUGUGGACAUCCUUGGCAUAAGCAUAGAAAGCUAGAAAGCCUUUACGGCAACGCUGAUGAUAACCCAAAUACUCGUUCAGUUCGCGGUUAUUCGACUUUGUUCGAGAGAAACGUUGGCGAAUCCAAGCGUUGCUCAGACGAUUCGAUACGAUCCGAUCCGAUCCGAUCCGAUCCAAUCCGUACCUUUCGUGGAAGAAGCGACGCGUGCUCCGUUUUUCGGUGAAAGUGCAUUUCCGCUACCUGUACUGCACGCUGAUAUACGAGAAAUGGAAAAAGCGAACGUUUCUCUCCUCUCGAUCGCGAGAGGAUCUACGUAAAUGUAACGACCACCACCACCACCACCACCGACCGAAUAAAUCGAAUCAGUUGACCUCGUUUUACCUUGUUGAAAUUUCAGGGAGACAGCCGAAAAAUUGAACGGAAAUGGAAGUUUAUUACCUGGACGUAGUACACGGGUUUUUCCGGGGAAAUUGGAUGUCACUGGAAUUGUUAUUGGCAAUAUUAAAUUCCUUUUUUAUGAUUUUCUGAUCAUUCAUAGUCAUUGUCUCAGUUAGCUUAAGAAAACACGAUUUCAUGACUCGGUUCAACGAACACUGACACAACGUUUUAAUACUGUUGCGUUUGCGACGGCAUUUGCCACCUAGUAGAAAGCCGGUUAAACUAUUUUUUGCAACGGAACACGAACGGCUGAGAGAGUUCACUCACUUUCCCUCGUAACCGAGCAAAAUGUUGAUCGUUAUUCGCUAGGAACCAUUCUUAUUUAACACUAGGUUUACUAGACUGAUAAAGAGAGAUCUGGCCACGGAAUAAUGGGCAAGGCAUUGCCUUUUGGUAAGAGGAACCCUGUGACGAACCCCACGGCACUUACCCCAGAACUGACAGAGAGAAAGACUCGUGGCUUACUAAGAACAUUUUUGUUUUUUUUUUUCCUAACAAACAUCUGUUGCUCGUCGAUAACGUUUCCAUUGAUCGCUCCUGUGCGAAGAUUGAACGCGCAAGAUUCGCGGCGAGUCUCUGUCAAAGGCGGGGUUCAUCGUACACAAAGUGGGUAAAGGUAGGUAACCCAUUUUGGGGGUGGUUGGUUGGCUAGCUACCUCCCUCCCUCCCUCUAUCCUUCUCUAUCCAACCUCUUCUUCCCUAUCUAUCUUUCCUUCUUUCUCUGUUUAGAGCACGAACAGCCAGUGCUGGCUGCUGUUCACCGACACAAGCAAACCGGAAACUUGUGCCGUGUCGUUGAGUAUUGAGCGGGGUGAACGCUCUUGCGCAAUGCACGUACAGCAACCCCAACCUCGUCGACCUCGAGGCUGCUUCGUCCGGGUCUCUAGCCUGGCCCAGCUUUGCGAUUGAUUAACCGAAUACCGAUGAUGUUUCCUCCUCCUCCUCCUCCUCAUUCUCUUAACGUUAGCAUUAUCUACUCCCCGUAAAUCUGAUGAUUACGCGAGAUGAACGCGAGAGAAAAAAAGUCGCGAGAAGAGAAACGAUCCGUAAAAUUCCAAGGAUUCCAAGUGUUCGCAACCGUUUCAACCGAUUACCGAGCAAUCAUAUUCUUGCACAAGAGAUUCAAGAAUCGUGUUGCAAAGUUCGCCGUCGCUCGGACGGAGGUGCACGUGCGAAUUGAAUGUCAGUGGCUGGAGUUUCGUCUUGGAUCGAUCGUAAAAGAUAAUAGAAGAGGGUGAAGAAACGAGGGAAAAAGGCGUCGAGCCAUUUGAAAAGCAAAGCACGAUAAGCUCGGCGUGAAGGGGAGGAACCAACCCUUCGAAUAUCUCCUAUCUCGAAUCACCAUCGAGCAGAAGACGAAUCCCAAGCGAUUUUUGCUUCGAAGAUUGCACAACUACUUUAUAAUGUCUCGACCUCUGAUUUCUUUAAUAUUCCAGACGAUCGGAUCGAUGGAAGUUGCAGUGUUUCGAUAUCGAACAUACCUCUCCAUUACGAUAGAAAUUAUCGCAGUGUUUCUUUAACGCUACUCGACACGCUCGCCGUGAUAAAUCACUGUCUGAAAUUAUCGCUUUCGUUCGAGGGGAAGGUAAAGGAGACACGUACCUAGCAUUCUUUCCUUUCCCUGAAAAUUACUCCAUAUUCCAACGUGAAUUUCCUUUUAAGGAAAUGAUUUCUUUCAAAGUCUAACAUCCGAAGAAUUGAUUUAAAUUGAUUUUAUGCGAGUGCGAGUAAAUUCGUAACGCAAAAGAUUCUGUGCAACGUGGCAGAAGCAAAGCAAAGUAGCUCUCGUCGGCAGCCCUGACACGUGCAAACACCAGAAAAUUAUGUUACAACCUCGACUUGUCUGCGUAACCCUCUAGUCUGGCGCGCGUAUAACAUGUGUGUCAACGCGAGUUGCAUUACCCACAAUUAUUUUCUCUAACGUUGUCGACUUUUAUUUCAUUUUUCUUCCCUUCUUUUUGUACCGGGCUCGACUCGUCUUGUCUUGCACCAUUUCUCUUCUUCGCUGAACGUUCCACGCGUCUGCUUUUAAACUUUCAGCCAGACACAAUCCACGGGUUACUCGAUUCAAAUUGUUUACGAACAAUUUCAAGAGAGAUACGUAUAUUUGGUGAAACUGUUUGACGAUCAAAUAUCCUUUACUUCCCAGCGGCGACAUCGCCGCUAUUAUGAAACGUCCUGUACACGCCACUUUCACUAUCGCGGCCAAGUUUCAUAACUGUUAUUAUCGAGGUCAUACGUAGGUUGAAGAGAAGUCGAGAGAGAGGCAGAGAAAAGGGUCUUGGCAUGUCUGUUACCAAUAAUCCUCGUUGCUCGUCGUUGCUCGUCGACGUGAUUUUCAUCGAACCCUUCUCCCAGAGAAGAAUCUUUCUCAGAAAAACAAUCUCUUUGAAAUCUAAUUCUUUCUCAGACCUUUCAGUAAAUUACCAGCUGCGAAUUUACGUUAAUUUAAAGGUAAAGCCGAAAGCUGUAUAAGCGUCCCCUAACUUGUGGAAGGGAAACUCGUUUUACCGUACAGAACAAUUUGGUGGAAGGUUGAAAGGGGAACGGGUUAUACGCAGAAAGGAAUCGGCAAAUAGAAAUACGAACACGGAAUACGAGUACGAGUAUGCUUUUUUUUCGAGGGUGCUUCCUUCCCUAUGCGUUCAAGCUCCGAGGGAGAAACACGCUAAAAUUGCCGGGUAAAAGACGAUAGGGUCUGGUAAAGUUACGCGUUCACCCUCGAGCACCCAGUCGUCGUCGUCGUCGUCGUCGUCGUCGUCGUCGGCGGCGGGGUUAGAAUUUCCACUUCGAAUCGGGAGCCGACGAGAUCCGGAUAAAUGCACCGGGGCUACCGGGUACAGGCAGCAAACUUUUCCGCGGAACGGAGCACCGAGCUUUAUCGAUUGAACCGGUUUUAUCAGGAAGCCGAAUACCCGAUUAAACGGACGCUUGCUAACCGCUCCUGGAAAUACGUACAGCACAAUUCAGCUGUGAAAAUUGUCAUUUCGAGUCACGCUAUGCCCUAAUCUGUUACUACUGAAUCAUCGUCAUCAUCAAAUUGAAAUUCUCGAUCCAGCAUUGCACGAAGAUCAAGCCGAAGAUACUUAACCGAUACGAUGAAACAUUAUUUGAACCCGUGUGUAUAACGACCACGAGGACGUAUAUAGAAGGAAUCAUAGUCGAGAUAAAAAGAGUUCCAUGAGUCAUACACGUAGAAUCUUGAUGAUCGUAAGUGAUCCUUGACGCUUAACGGCUCCACGACCUCGAUUUUGGUAAAACAAGCGGAAAUUGGUUAAGCGUUCACGAGCAUGCUCUUUGUGUCGUUGCACGAGAGCCCCCACCUCUCCCUCGACAACGAGCUGCCCUUAAAUUCAAAUGAUCCGUUUCUUGAAAGAGCAUCCUCUAUUGUUCAUUUCUGGUAUACCGAAGCAUGAUAAAUUCUGUACUGUCCUUUUACUCGCGAUAAAUAUCGCUUAACGAUCAUCGCACGCGGAAUAAAUUGGUAGGAAAGUAAAAGGUAAUGGCCAUCGAAGAAGAAAUGGACAGACCACUCGGUGAAAUUGGUUUGUCUUGAGAAAAGUGAAAUCUGCAUAGGCCUCGUUACGUGAUAUUAGCCACGAGGCGGUAGAAAAAUGAAGCAAACCGAAAACGAACCUUACCCCGUACCAAUAUCCCUAAUGUUAUAAACAUUAAUUAUUCUGUUAUCGCUCUACAUUUAAAUCUAAUCUUGUUCUUAAUAGAACGCAAUCGUGGUGGGUGAUUAAAUGAAACACUCGUGACGGAUAAUUACGAGUGCAUUAAGUUACGUAGUUAUCGUUCGUGAUACACGUUUGACUUUGCAAUUUACGAAAAUGAUAAAUAUUACUCGUAUUUAAAUGAUAUGAAACUCAGGCUAACUAACAAGUCAAGCUUUAGAAUAAAUAUCUCGAAUAAUUACGUUGUUUUACAUCAAACAGAAUAUGAUGCGUACUAACAAAUAACUAAUUCAAAUUGCACGUACUUACGUUACAGCUUUCUGCCAUAAUUGGAAAAUUCCGCACUGUCCUUUGGAAUAACACAAAAUAUCAAUAUCACUUGUUUCUCGUUAGUAAAUUGUUACAAAAUAUUUUUAAAAAUCAACUCUCUAACCCGACUAGAAUAAACCGUUACAAAAGACAAAAUGCCAUCAGCGUUAUCUAGCGGUAAAAUUGCGAAAUUCCAAAGGACCGUCAAUAAAGACAAUUCUGUCGGUAAAGAUGAAUACUGUCUUUUAUAUAUAUAUAUAUGUAUGUAUAUAUAAUA